UACAGAGGUCCCAAGCGUUGUUCGGAUUCACUGGGCGUAAAGGGUGCGUAGGCGGUCGGGUAAGUCUGAUGUGAAAUCUCACAGCUUAACUGUGAAACUGCAUUGGAUACUAUCCGGCUCGAGGAAUGGAGGGGAGACUGGAAUACUUGGUGUAGCAGUGAAAUGCGUAGAUAUCAAGUGGAACACCAGUGGCGAAGGCGGCCAUCUGGAUCAACACUGACGCUGAGGCACGAAAGCGUGGGGAGCAAACAGG
rnacentral:rRNA from 1 species